AUGAAAUGAGGCGGAUGUAACAGAGAGAAUCCGGCCACUUUUCAAAAUAAAACAUAAAAAAAUGAAAUAAUGGAAGUUAUUUUUUCUUUCUGUGCGGCCCGGUGCCAAAUGAUCCACGGCCCGGGGGUCGGGGACCACUGUUAUAGGGUACGCUAACAUUAGCACGGGUGCUUACCAGCCGCGUAGGUUGCGAUAUCACGACGUCACAACCACGCAGCGGAAAAGGAGGCCAUCCGCCACAUCCGUCUCGCAGUAUUCGCAGCAAUUUCACCAACUACAGCACGGCUACAUUCCCGCGCACACGUAGCGCUCUUUGAUCAGACCGGGUGUCAAACACGCUUGCUGCACAUUCCACCUUGCUGAUCAAUAAUUCACCUUCAAACCGUCAAACUUGGCAGUGACAGCACGAGGGAAACGAGGAUGGAACGCGCGUGACGAGGCCGGCUGGAGGCGCUGCAGGAAGGCGCCACAGGCCGCACUUUGGACGCCCCAGAUUGAGUGAACAAAGGCCGUGUGUUGACUCAUUUCCACCGCUGUACAAGCUGUACAAGGACUACUCUAAAGUUGGAGCUAAAAGAGCGCCAGGGGGCAUCUCGAUGAUCCGGUUUUGGUCCUAAUACCCAGCCUUUGGGGUGCCCAUGGCGUGCUUUUCAGGCGCUUUCUCACAAAUCGCCAAAACCCCUUCCCUUGACUUCUCUCCACCCAAAUUUCCACUUGAGUCCGCUCCCUCCCCAGCACGACCCCCAAGUCCACGUCCUUCGGGGGAAGUGGAUCCAGACAGCAGCGGGUGUGUUAUCAUGCAUGUUGAAGACUGAGGAGCUGCGGUCCCGCUAGAGUACCAACAAGCAGACUGACUUCUUUCUUCAUUCUUUCUUCACUGGGCAAACACAAUCAGCACAACGGGGACUUGUAGAAGAAGAAGUAUUAAAAAGAGGACGCCGAGGCACGUAUGGGGCAGGAAUGUCAAUGCGUCUGUAAUAGAUGCUCGCAUUCUGACUGGAAUGCAGUCCGUGCCCGCUUUCCGCGGGGGAUGGGAUUGGCGAAAAACCCAGAGUAAUCAACACGGCCAUAAAAAUGUCUAUUUUUGCCUCCAUUUUCGUACACUGUCUCCGUUUUCAUACAGUAUCGCACGUACCAAACUCCAGUAAUCCCUUCUUUAUUGUGGUUCAUUGGUUCCAGACCCGCUUUUAGCACGACUAGAGCCCUCUAGACAUGAAAUAACACCCCUAUAGUCACUCCCAUUACCCAAUAUAGUGGACAUAAUCAGAGGAAAUGAGACAUAAAUAACAUUUGUGUUGCUAUAAAUGUGUUCCCUGGGGGAGCAUAGUGAGUGGCGAACAGGAAGUGAUGUCAGAGUUGAGUUUCAGCAGUAGCACGUGUUUUUAUUCGAGCUUUUUAUUCGGGAUUAUUCUGCCCGUUUUGAGAUGAUUCAAACCUGCAACAACCAGUCUGGUGCUUGUGUGUCUCACCGAACAUUACGGACCACUGACACUUGGUGACUGCCUUAUAUUCCUAUUUUCCUUCAUUUAGACGUUUUUAUGCUUGAAAAUGCUUCAUUUGGGAAAAACAAAAACAAACGUAACAUUAGCUUAAAUGUUUUUAUUUUUAUUUUUAUAAACAAUAGACCGUAUUAAGCAUGAAACAGUCUGAUUUAUUGAUUAUCAUAUUUUGGUCAAAUCUGCGUGAAAUCUGAACCGCAAAGUGGCGAGGGACGACUGUCCGGUUUCGUUCCGCAGAACGGAGCGCCCAAACAAAGCAACCCACGCAUUGCUGACUCACCGUGCAAUGCGAAAUAACCUGCCACGGGGCCAAAGAAAGUUGCCAGUGGCAGCGCUUUGAUGAAGAAGGUGAGAAACACCAGGAAGUCCUCAUCAACAAUCAUUAUUUUGCAUUGUUUUAUGUAUGUAAAGUUAUAAUAUAUAUAUAUUUAAAUGGGUGACUGGAAUGUAUUAAUUACAACAAGAACCAAACAAAACCACCCUUUAUAAAUUAUUAUUGACGUGCGGUGAAUGACAAGUGUUUUCUGUGACACGAAUAAAUAUAGCUAAGUAUUCGUUUGGAUCAGAAAGGGGGUCCUCGGCAUUCAGGUUAGCGCGUGUCAUUAUUGACAGGAGGUGUCAUGAGAAUACAGCAGCACUGCAGCAUCUUUCACCACCUGCCCCCCCCGCCCCCCUCCACAUCAAUAAGCACAUUUAGGCGGGGGAGGUGUGUGUGUGUGUGUGUGUGUGUGUGUGUGUUGUUUAAAUCAACGUUUCACAUCACUCCUGUGGGCGCAUUUCAUGAUGAUGGUGCUUUUUGCCGCGUGCCUCACUCAGCAGGGGACACAAUCUGAUAAACGUAGUACUCAGUGUACAAUUACUAUCAUAAAUGUAGUACUCAGUGUACAAUUACUAUCAUGAACGUAGCACUCAGUGUACAAUUACUAUCAUAAACGUAGCACUCAGUGUACAAUUACUAUCAUAAACGUAGCACUCAGUGUACAAUUACUAUCAUAAA